CACAGUACCCAGAAGUGGCUAGACGCUACAAUACUGGACAGCACACGUAAAGAACACUUCCAUCCUCACAGAAAGUUCUACUGGACAGUGCUGGUAGAUUGCCUGGUUGUGUCUGCUCAUUUCUUAGUGGCCACAAUGAGUAGUUCCUGAAACCCUUUUGGGGAAGAACUGAACUGGGGGAGGUUGGAGGGUACCAUUAUUCACUCUCUGGCCAACCUUCUAAACCUGAAAACUCAAAAGCUUAGAGCAACUAGGAGCAUGAAUCCACCAGUGUACUAGGCUCACCAGGCCCUAACCCCUCUCUCUCCCCUCUCUCACCUGCAUGUUCACAGCCACUCUGACCUUUGCGUAUUUUAUUCCAUUUCUAUUUUACGCCGUUUUAAUUGAUGUUUAAUAUAGCUUAACUCUGUGUGGUGUUCACAGCCCCUCACCAGGGGGCCAUUCACAGGCAGAAGCACAAUUAAUAGCAAGCCCCAGAAAAUUAUGCCCUGUAUCAAAGUUGUCAUUGCACCGUAUAAAUACUUAUUAUUACUAUUGAAUUCUCCAGCCCUGACACCUCCCUGUGUUUACUAGGUAGCAGACAAUCCUCUAUGUUUGUGCCUUCCCUACUCUACCGCACCAUCAGGACCAAAUAUAGCCCUUGUGUGUGUGUCUAGCUCCAUUUAGUUGUGCUUUGGGAAAAGGGGGGGAAAAUCAGCGUUAAUAAAGUUAAAUUGCUGGAAAAUGUAAUCUGUUCCUCCCCCACUUGACAAUCCCAAGAAAGACAGACAGACAUCACCGCUGACAAGAUGGGUAACCUGCCUCAGCGAUAGGGUGGAGGUGAAGCCCAGACCCUGAUACCACGGCCUGGCUUUCGGAUCAGCCUCCUGUGACAGUAGAGGGAGCAGGUCUAAGAGCACAGGAUGCUGGGAGGGCAGCCGGUGGGGCCACCCUGUGCCUGGGCUGAACGUGGCCAGAACACAGAGCUCGAGCCUGGGGGGCAAUCCCAGCUCCCCAAGGAGCUCAAGGGCAAUCCAGCCAGGAAAUCUGACCCCUACCCCCCUCUCUCAGUGAGAAAAGCGAAGCAAAGCCAAUUCUGUAAACCGCCCUCCUCACCCCCAACACACGCACACAGAGGAAAAAGAAAAAACCCUCGACUUGGCACUCCGUGGUUGCUUCUUCUGGGCUCUCGUGAAGCUUAGUUUUUGGCAAGAAAGACAGCAGCUUUUCUACGAUUCACAUGUCAGGAAAAGCACUGGACGAUUCCAGGUGGGUGAGACACCUGUCCUCCUCCCGCUCUGGCAGGCCUUCCCGUCCUGUUUGCCGUUCUCUCGGCACCCUUGUCUAGCGAGUCUCCCUUACAGAACGCAGAGGCCCCGGAGGACUUCCUCCUGACUUAGCUUCUUGUUCUUUUCUCACAACGGAGUGUACAGAACACACGUUGCUUACCGCUUCUGUCCACCUGUCACAUUCACCUGACUCCCUUUUACACACCACCGAUGUCACAGUCUCCAGUUACUGCCACCUGUACUGCAAGCGGAUGGACAGGUGGCGGCGGCUUUUGCCUGGGAGGUGCAGAGGGGAGCAAUACAACGGGAGCGUGGAGACGGCAGGUCUAUGAAUUACCGUGUGAACGUGCCCUAGUGAUUACCUUCUUCCGGCCUCAGCUCUAAACCACUGUGAACCGUUUGGAUUGGACAGUGUAACGCCUAGAGGCCUCCUAGCUAUAAAAUGCUCUAAGGCAGUAUUCAGAAGGCUGUACGCUCAAGUCCUUGGAAGCUGAAUGGGUCAUGCUUAUUUCUAUUUAUAAUCCCUUUUUUAUUUUUGCACUCAAUGCUCUAUGGAGAAAUGUAGAUUUCUAUUCUAAAUUCUUCUGACAAAAGAAAAGCUCUAUUUUAGGUUGUUUGACGGGGCAGUGUUUUUAACUAGACUGAGUUUCCCAUAUUUUAUUUGCUUUGCCUUCUCUCAUCUUUGCCUAAAAGCUUCUAAAAAACCAGACAUGCUUUCUGUACUCAGGCAUAGCAGGAACUGAGGCUGCCUUGGCUGAAGGAAGAAGAUGGUGCCCAUCCAGGGCCCUAGUGGAGGACUAUUUGCUACCUGCUGCACUCGUUGCCUCGUCUCCAAAUAGGGCCCGUUCUGUAGUUUGCUGCAAAUAUAUUAGGAGCGGAGCCACUAGCACUUCCCACCCAUGGCAAGCCUCGAACCCUCCGUACUCUGGCUGCCAAGACGAUCUGAAAGCAGGGGGCCACUUUCCAGCUUAGGAGAAAAACACGUGCAUUAAGUGGAAACUUCUUUUCCCUCCUCUCCUCCUCCCCAGCCACUUGGAAAGCUUUAGACUGAAAGGGAGGAAAGGAAGACCUGUCUGAUGAAGCCGAGGAAGGUGAUGGAAUUGUCAGAGACUUCCCUCUCCCCAUCUAUGCAGGCCAGGAUGGUUUAUUAAUGAUCCAUAGGAAAAGAACAAUCAUCCUGCUGGCAGCUUCACAUGUAAUUAACCAGCUUCACAGAGAGCUGGCUGCCUUCUCCGGGUCUGGCACCUGCAGACCGCAGAGCUACCUGACAUAGUGGCACCGGGUUUCUAGCGAAAUCUCCCUACUGGGAGAGGGGCAUCCAAAAUAGUGACCUUGACCCACUGGGCACUGACUCAGGAUACGUGACUGCAAUGGCACUGCUCCUCUGCAGAAGCCUGGCCCUGUGCUCGGGCUGACACGGAAGACUGCAAGCUGCCCGACGGCAGCCACAGCUCUGGGAACCGCGACUCCCAUGAAGUGCCCGCUCAGGCAAAACUCUACUGACUGGAGUUUCUGGAACUGGCUCAUGCUGUGGAGGGACUGAGAGGGCUUAACGACACUGCGGGGCAUGGUGGACAACAGGUGCUUCUGUGUAAAGAGCUCCUGCCUGGCACUCCACUCUCCUCCAGCCCUCCAACUGAACACAGAUCAAAGAGAAACUCAAUGGCAAUCAGACUGCUGUGGUCAUGGUAAGGAGACAAAAAAGACCACCACUACACCCUCAGAGGAUAAGGAAGCGUGGACCAGCCAGGCUCUAAAUAAGUCAUCCCUGUGUCCCACAUUUUCAAGUCCCAGUGACACUGGGAAAUGAGUAAGGUCAGAGUCCAGUACAGAGAAAGCAUGGGAGAGCCCUUGGUGUUGGCAGAUCAUCCUCCAAAUACCCCAUGGCAGUCGGAGUGCAUGGCACAGAUACUCAAGCCACUCCUUCUUAGAUGUCCACGUGGUACGUAUGGAGUCCUGGCUCCCCCCACCCCUUUGGUGACAGGUGGCUUAUCUAUGGUCCACAGCCAAGUCUAGAAGAGGCUCUGUGUAUAGGUUCAGGACUUCUCAGCAUUAGUGUUUCCACUGAAUGUGACCCUGCCUAGAAAGAAGCUGUUCCAACGUGCAGGAAGAUGCAGUAGCAGCGGCAAAGAGACCCUGACUUUUACCUUCUUUGUAGGAAAGAGACUGGCUGACCCCUGAUUCUACUUAAAUGCUCCCAACACACAGGCCUGUGCCCAGCCCACCCUGCCUGCUCUGGCUAUGGUGCUUUGUCCUCGGUGAAGUUCCAAUCCUAGAUUCUAGCUAACCUCCAAGAGAAUUUUCAUUCAUAAUAAAAAUGAUGCUGUGGGCUGUUGCUCACUGAGUGUUUACUAUCUACGAGGGCACCAGUGCUGGGCACAUUACAUAUAUACAUUAUUUCGACAGUAACCCUAUAGAGCAAGUGCCCUCAUUGUAAGUGAGGCACUUAGGUUUAGCAGGUCAGCUGCACUGCAUAACCCCAGGGGCACCAUUCAUGCUGAAUUCUAUUACGCACUGAGAUUGCCCUGGUUUUAGAGAGGGUAACGAUCAUGUCCAGCGUCACACAGUACACGGUGAACCUGGAAUGAGAACCCAGGUCUGACUCUGCGCACAUUACUAACAGAGUCUUUGUUAAGUGGCCAGGAAGGGAAAGAUGUCCUUAAAUGGGCAGACAUGCUGUUCGGACCAGGUUAGGGGAUCUCUGCUGUUAAUUCCCAAGCUUGCUCAUAAUCUUA